CAAUUUCUUUCAAGGUUGAAUAUUAAAGGGUUUUAAAAGCCCUGCCAAUGCCAGCAGUAGCCUUAAGAGGGUCCACUCUGUAAGGCACCUCAACAGGCCCAAUGGAGUUGCUGAGAGCAUAGCGCAAGAUCUUCUCCUCCUGGUUGUACAGGACGAACACGCUGUCCACCGAGAGCUGCUGGGUGCUGGGCAGGGCUGGCCGGGAGUCAUCGUGGACGCAUUCCUGGAAGGUGAUGGUCUGGCGCCACUGUUUGCUCCAUAAUAGAAGCAUAAAAGCCAGAGGAUAAAUAAAAGAUCAGUGUAAGCUGCCUCCUGUCCAGCUCCCACACGCCAGAAAGGCCAUUCAGCUACAAGCCGGCCGCAACUGUGGUCCUGUUGCUCUUUCCUCCUCUUCUUCACUGUCUCCCAGCUCCCCAGGAGAACUCAACCAAGCCACAAAACUCCAGUAAUUGCUUCAACCUUUCCGAACAGCAAUUUAAUAAGAGCCUUUAAAAAGGUGGCCAGGCACGAUGGCUCACGCCUGUAAUCACGGCACUUUGGGAGGCUGAAGCGGGAGGAUCACUGGAGGUCAGGAGUUCGAGACCAGCCUGGGCAACAUGGAGAAACCCUGUCUCUACUAAAAAUACAAAAGUUAGCCAUGCCUGGUGGUAGGCGCCUAUAAUCCCAGCUAUUUCAGAGGUGGAGGCAGGAGAAUCACUUGAACCUGGGAAGCAGACGUUGCAGUGAGCUGAGAUCACACCACUGCACCACAGCCUUGGUGACAGAGCAAGACCCUGUCUCAAAACAACAACCAGAAAACAAAAACAAAAACAAAAAAAACGAAGGGAUUCUUAACCUGGGGUUUAAUGACCCACAUAUGAGUUCAUGUUCAUGAAUAUUAUUCAGUGGGUCUCUACAUGAGCAAGACACCAUCUCAAAAAUAAAAUAAAAUUAAAUUAAAAAAAUAAAAAAUUCCUAUUGUUUGACUCGGCACUUCUAUUUCUAGGAAUUGAGUCUUAGAAAAGAAUCAGAAAUUUGGCCAAGAUUUAUGAUUAAGACAAUCAUUUCAACUCAUAAUAAGAGGAGAAAAUGGAAGCAACCCAAGCUUUAGAAAGUAGAAGAAUGGUUUGAAUUAAUAGCCAUCCAGUAGAAUCACACAGAUUCCUUAAAAAGUGUUUUCAAAGACUGCUUAAUGAGACUACUAAACAUUCACGAUUUGACAUUAACUGAAAAGGUGAAGAUAUAACAAUGUGGUAUGAUUGCAAUUUUAUUUAAAUAAAAACUAUAAGCAUGGGUAACAUGGCAAAACCCCAUCUGUACAAAAAUUUAAAAAUUAGCCAGGCAUGGUAGUGUGCCUGUAGUCCCAGGUACUCAGGAGGCUGAGGUGGGAGGCUCACUUGAGCCCAGGAGGUUGAGGCUGCAGUGAGCCGAGACUGCACCACUGCACUCCAGCUUGGGCGACAGAGUGAGGGCUCGUCUCAAAACAAACAACAACCAAAAAACUAUACAUAUCACUGUGUAUCCAUGUUAAAUUUCUCAAUUUUGAUAACUGUACUGUGGCCUUGUAAAAGAAUGUCCUUGUUCUUAGGAAAAACAAAUGAAGUGUUUAAAGAACGAUCUAUCAUGAUAUAUACAACUUAUUCUCAAAUGGUCAGUAUACAUAUAUAUAUAUAUAUAUAUGGAGAGACAGAGAGACAGAGAGAGAAUGGUAAAGUAAAUGUGGCAAAAUGUUAACAAUUGGUGAAGCUAGAUAAAUAGUAUGUGAACGUUUUUUGGGCUUUGUUCAGUUUUCACGUAAGUUUGAUAUUAUUUAAAACCAGGCACCAAAUGGAGAAUAAAUGUAGUUUUUAAUAGUACAUACAGAUGUGGCCGGGCGCAGUUGCUCACACCUGUAAUCCCAGCACUUAGGGAGGCUGAGCCAGGCAGAUCACUUGAGGUCAGGAGUUCCAGAUCACCCUGGCCUACAUAAUGAAAGCCCAUCUCUACUAAAAAUACAAAAAUUAGCCAGGUGUGGUGGCAUGUGCCUGUAGGCCCAGCUACUUGGGAAGCUGAGGCAGGAGGGUUGCUCAAGCCCAGGAGGCGGAGGUUGUAGUGAGCUGAGAUCGCACCACUGCACUCCAGCCUGGGCAACAGGAGUGAAACCCUGUCUCAAAAAAAAAAAAAAGUACAAAUAGAUGUAUAAUAAAAUUAGUUUAUCAUGAAAUUAUAUGUUGGGAUAUUUCAUAUACAUGUAAAUAGAUAGAUGCUGGAGAAAAAGCUGAAAAGAAAUACACUUAAAUGUCAUAAUAAUUAUGUCCAGGUUUUACAACUCUAACUCAUGCGUAUUGUCUUUUUUGCACAAAAUUCUCUACAAGGAGUAGUGCGUCCUAUGUCUAUAAUUGAGGGGAAGGUGACUGUAAGGCCCGGUGUAUUUCCCUCUCCAGAUCCCAGAGACAGCCCCAGUUCACGGCUGCCGUGGUGGGUCAAGAGCACGAGGCUAGUGGCCGGUCUGGGGCUGGCCCUGGGACACAGCUGGGGCUCACCUGAGGUGGAGUAGUGGUACAGCUCCG
rnacentral:lncRNA from 10 species